UACGUAGGGUGCAAGCGUUGUCCGGAAUUAUUGGGCGUAAAGAGCUCGUAGGCGGUCUGUCGCGUCUGCUGUGAAAACCUAGGGCUUAACUCUGGGCGUGCAGUGGGUACGGGCAGGCUAGAGUGCGGUAGGGGAGACUGGAAUUCCUGGUGUAGCGGUGAAAUGCGCAGAUAUCAGGAGGAACACUGGUGGCGAAGGCGGGUCUCUGGGCCGUAACUGACGCUGAGGAGCGAAAGCAUGGGGAGCGAACAGG
rnacentral:rRNA from 1 species